rnacentral:lncRNA from 1 species
AGAUAUCCAUAUAUAUAUCUCAUUGUUACAUUCAUUUUCAGAAAUUAAUUCUCUCUCUAAUUUUUCUCCUUCCUCUCUUCUCUCCGUUCUCUCUCUUCUAUCUCCAACCCUGAACCAAAAGAAGAGCCGCCUCCAACAAACUCCGCCCCUAUCUCAACACCCAACGACAUCAACAGAACCAGUCCGCCGAUCACCUCCUUCCUCCUUCAUAUACUAUGACUGCAGCUUGUCGUUUUUUUGACGGGACAGGUAAAAGUUCAUCUAGAUCUAAUAUUGUACUUUGAUUAAAUCUGGUAUUUUGCCUCCCCAACCAUAACAAAUCCACCUCAUAUAUUUGCUCUAAUGGGGUAGGAGAGUUUGGCCUGGGAUUUGUGGCUGAAGCAUGAAGUGGGAGCCGGAAGUAGCAGCUUUGUUUCAUCAACGGUUACAGAGUGUCGCAAAAAUGAUGGGAUUUUGAUUGUUUUUCCUUUUCUUUCCGUCCAUUAUUUGAUUUUUAUAGGUUUUUUCAGGAAUUUUUCUUCUUCUUUUGUGUACAUUUGUUUGUACUUUCGUUGGUAUUCUGAGACUGAUGUUAUUAAUUUAUAAGUGUUCUAAUUUUUUUGUCAUAAUUGGUUGAUGGAAUUGUGGCUAAAAUAUUCUAAUAAUAUUUCUAGUAAGCAACUUUUAUGUUCCUAUUAUGACAAUUUAUGUUACAAAUACAUUAUAUGUAUAAUCAAUUUGUAAAUGGACAUAAAAGCUACAUAAUCUAUUUCGAAAUAGGUUAACAAAUGCUAUGUGAUUUUUUACAUUUAUUCGAUAUAAUCCUGUUGAAUCUCCAUCCUAUAAUUUUCCUUUUCUUUUUUAAUUUAUCAUCCUCUUUAUCAUCACAUAUACACAAUUAUGCCAUUAUCAAUCAAAACAAAAUCAACUACUUCAUGUUUUAGCAGAAGCAAUCGAGUUCAGAUACACCAAUCGAUUUCAAAGCUAACCAUUUUUAGCA